GUCUAUGGAGUAGCCAUUCUUUUAUUCGAAUACUUUACUCUCCUAACAAACUUGCUUUCAUUUUACUCUACAGACUCACCCUGAAUUCUUUCUUGCACUUGCUCUAAGAACCCUCUCUUGGGGUCUGGAUCCGGACCGCUUUCUGCUAACACUUCUACAUACCACGUUUAUUUGAGACAGAAAAAUACAGCAAGGACAUCCAUCUAAACUUUGUCUGGAGUCUGGGCCCAGGGGAGCUGCAGUACAUGGAGGGUCUCUGGAAGUGGCAUUUCCCAGGGGAGUAAAAGGAAGGAUCAAAGCUACAAUGGGCUUGGCUGCCCUUCUCCAGGAAUGGCCAGAGGACAACUUCUGCUUGGAAAGUUCCUGGAUACUUCUGGAACAGAAUUCUCCUGGGGUGAGUGGUUCACACAACUGACCCACUUCAUCCCCACUCAGCAAAAUGAGAGCGCCGUUGACUGACAACAAAAUGCUGAACUGGAAACCUCCGCAGUAAAACGUGAUGCAGAACAGAGAAAGAACUAAGAUGUUCUGCACAGACGGUAUCAUGCCCUCUAUGAGGAAACUACUCGAGCAUAUCUGUGUUUCAAAUGAUGUCUUUGAACUAUUUAUGUUAAAUGCCCCCCCAAAAAAAUGGAAAGGCUUCUUCGUAGAGGAAAGAGCUUGAAGUUGCUAGGCUGUUCUGCCUUCAACAGGCAUUUAUUGUGCAGCUACAAAAUGCUGCACCAAGCACUGGGCAGUGGAAAGGUGAUUCAGACACAGUUCCUUUGACAAAACCUCAAAAUCCCAUGUGAAGUUCUCUUUUAUAAAGUAAAUCAGAAAAGAUUCAAAAGUUGAGGUACCAAAAAAAAAUAAUAUAAAUGCAAGUAGUAAAGCGCUAUUGACUGUAAAUAGAAGCACUUAAUAAGUGGUUGUUGUUUCUGUUCUUCUCUCUAAUAAGUGUAUACAGGUGGCUAAAUGCUUUUGUUGAGCUAUGAGUACCUCAUUCUGUGGAGUGACUCAGAAAGUCUCUAGGUGUUAGACUGGAAACAGGUGAUGUUCAGUGCACGCAAUGCUUGAAGUGUUCCCAGGUAUUUAGUUUCAGGUAAAUUUUACUGUUUAAAAAAAUUGUUUUUACUUGCUAUUAAGUGUGUUGACCUUGGAUAAUUUACUUAACCUCUCUAUGCCUUGCUUCCUUUUCUGCAAAAUGAGAGUAAGAAAAGUGCUUACCUCAUUGGCUUUUUGUGAAAUUCAAUGAGUUAACACGUGGGAGAAAAGAUGUUUUUAAAUAAUCAAUUCUUAGCAGUUGGUCAUUGUUAUGAGUUACAUCAUGCGUAGUUAAAUAUUUUUUAAAAAAUUAAAAUUUAUUUUCCUAUAGGAAAAAGGAGGGACUGAAUUGUGAAUCCAUUUUCUCUGCUUUCAGUUAUUUCUACUCCUGAGAAAAACCCUAAGCACUUAGGGUCUAGAACCACAUCCCGAGACGGUGAGCUCUUCCCACAUUUUCACAUGUGCCUGAAUCAUUUGUAGGUCUCGUUCAAGCAGAGAAUCUCCGGGAUUCUCACUCGGGAGGUCUGGGGUCGGGCCUGAGUCCUUGCAUUUCUAACAAACUCCCAGUUGAUGCUGGUGCCACUGGUUCUGAAUUAAGAUGCUUGUUUACCUAGUGACAGCAACAAAAAUUGUAGCAAUGGUAUCCAGAAAUAAACAGCAUACUUUUAUAGGGCUAGUCAAAUGAACCCAAACAUACAAAAUAAAGGCAAACCUCACAAUCUUCUUGCAAUGAUUUAUUACUCUGAGAGCUCAUUUUAGGUGAGAUUGUCUCCCUCCGGAGCCUGAUUCCUAAAAGCUUUCUAUGACUUUGAAAUUAUCGUUUUCCUUUUGGAGGUAGCACAAUAUAAGAGCUAAGAAGAGAAUGAGAACUGGAGUCCCUCCCAGGUUUGCCCCUCUAGGUAUGUAAGCUAAGGUAAACUACUUAGCCUUUCUUAAGCCUCAGUUUUCUCAUUACAAAUGGGCAUAUACGGAACAUUGGCUUGCCUCCUACAGUUGUUUGAGGACUCAAUGAAAAUGUACGUGAAGCUGGUUGCGGUGAGCUGAGAUUGUGCCACUGCACUCCAGCCUUGUGACACAGCGAGACUCCGUCUCAAAAAAAUAAAUAAAUAAAUAAAUAAAAAUAAAAGACUGGUUGCGGUUGCUCAUGCCUGUAAUUCCAGCACUUUGGGAGGCUGAGGUGGGCGGAUCACAAGGUCAAGAAAUCAAGACCAUCUUGGCUAACAUGGUGAAACCACAUCUCUACUAAAACUACAAAAAUUAGCUGGGCAUGGUAGCACAUGCCUGUAGUCCCAGCUACUCGGGAGGGCUGAGGCAGGAGAAUCGCUUGAACCAGGGAGGCAGAGGGUGCAGUGAGCCGAAAUCAUGCCACUGCACUCCAGCCUUGUGACAGAGUGAGACUCCAUCUCAAAAAAAAAAAAAAAAAAAAGAAAAAGAAAAAAGAAAAUGUACGUGAAGCAGUUAUCCUGGUGCCGGUGCCUGGUACGUAUCAAGGGCACCAGAACAUUAGCUAUUUAACCUUAAGGUUUCAAAUCCACCCUUCUCUGGAGACUUCUUGUUCCCUACUCUCAUGCAUCUCUGCAUCAUGGUCAUAACCCAUAGCAACGAAAAGCCAAGGUUUCACUCUUUGAAAUCUGGAUAAUGGUAUUUGUCUGCAAUAAUAUCCUAGGAGUAGAGCUAGAGAAUUUGUUUUGGGUUUUGUUUGUUUUUGUUCAUUUUUCAGACACGGUGAGUCAGAAACGUAAGGCUCAGAGAUAUUUUUAGUUUUUCCAGCCACUAAGAAUUCUUGUUGCCUGCAGGGAAAUAAAGAAAUGCAGAGAAGGGGGAGUGCUAGACUUGCCUGCUUGCUAUCCAAAACCACUUCUUUCCUUUGAAAAAGGGUCUGUGCAGCCAAAACAAGCAGCGCUAACGCUGGGCUGAGAGUAGGCACCAGCCAUCCAGGAAAGAGACAAGGCAACCAUCAGCUACAAAAGCUGCUUCAACAGCAGACAGCUCAAAGAAUCAAAAAAUGCAUCCCAGGAGGGCUGGGUGAGGAAAGACAGUGAUCUUGCCUUGGUAUUUGCAGCAAAGUCACAGACCAGGAAGGUCAAAUCCUCGCUGAGAACCAUGUGGACAAAUGUCCAGGACAUGGUCGCUGGCCUCAGGGAGCCCACAAUUUUAUUGAAGAAGCAAGAUUGUCAGAAGUAAGGACCAAAACUCGUGUAUACAGAGAAAGGAGAAAGAUUGAGAGGAAAGAAGAGGAGAAUCAAGGAGGCAGAGAUUAAAAGAAGGAAGGGAUAGAAAAGAAAAGAAAAAGAAAGAGGGAAGGAGAGAAGGGGAAAAGUACGGACUCCGUUUCGUGACUACAUCACAAGCAUUGAUGAAAAGAAGAGAAAUCUGUGAAAACGAGAAAGCAGGCACUGUAUGUUGCAUCCUGACACACAGUGAGUUGUUACACUUUAAAAGCCACAAAGAAGAGACGCUCACCCAGAGACAGACUUGAUGGAUUUGGCAGCUUAUCAUACUGGGAAGGGCAGAAUUGGGUUAUGCUAUGUUUUCAAUGGGUCCCCUCCAAAAGUCAGCCAAUGUGAUAGUAUUAAGAGAUGAGGCCUUUAAGAGGUGAUUAGGCCAUGAGAGCUCCUUCCUCGGGCUUGGAAUUAAGUGUCCUUAUACAGAGGUUUGGCACAAGGAGUUGGCCCCCACUUGCCCUUCCGUGUUCAGCCAUGAGGACACAGUGUUCCUUCUCUCUGGAGGAUGCAGCGUGAGGGCGCCAUCUUGGAAGCACAGAGCAGCCAUCACCAGACACCAAACCUGCUGGUGCCUUGAUCUUCCCAGCCUCCAGAACUGUGUAAACACUGAGGCCCAUAGAGGUCAUCACCUGCCCAACUGGACAGCUGUGAAGCCACAGCUCACACCACUUGCUGCAUCCUCCUGCAAUUUCAGCACACUUUCUCUUGUGCUGCUCUCCCUGGAAAGACAGUGCUUUUCCCCAACACCAAUUCCACCGGCAUCGCCCUAGAAAAAUACUCACAAAGAACACGGGGAGCUAUGUCUAAGGAUCUUCAAUGAAGUAUUGUUAUAAUGGACAUUUAGUUACAACUUAAAUGUUCACCAACUGGGUGAACAUUUCCACUGACUGGGGAAUGACCAGAAACAGAAAACAGAGAACUAUGCUGUAUAACCAUCACAUGAAAUUCUGGGCAGCGGUAGAAAGGAAUGAAUGAAUCUGCUCAUGCUUACAUGAAAAGAGACAUAUUGUGAAGUGAAGGAAGUUUCAGAAUGAAGUUUACAAGUAUGAUUCCACAUGUUACAGAACAACAAGAGAUGUGGGUGUUUUGUAUGCAGACAUAUACAUGUAUGUAAACGUAUAGGAAAAGGUCUGAAAUUACGCAAGCCAAACUGAUAACAAAAUUACCCAUUGAGAAGGGGAAAGUGGUAGAAAAGAGAGAAUGCUGAUCAAGGGGAUUCUAGCCUUAUCUGAGCUGUUUGAAUUGUUUCACAAGAAUAAUGUAUUCAUGUGUUACUUGUGUGCUUAUAAUAAAUCUAAAAUAAGUUUGUCCUAAUUCUUUACAGUAGAGAAAUGGUGGCAUUUGGUGAUCAAGGAUGCAGUGUGGACUCAGACAGGCCUUAGCUUCCAUCCCAGCUUGGCUACUCGAGAGCUGUGUGACUGUACAUAAGCUACUUAAACUUUCUGUAUCUCUUUAGCCUCUUCUAUAGAAUGAAGUUGAUGACAAUACCUCAGAAGAUGUAGUGAGGAAUUAAAUGAGGCAUAAGCCAAGGUUUCUGCUGCACCUGGCAAAGAAGUGAAUCAGAUCAGAAGCACAAAUGCACGGAACUGAGUUUUCUGCCUGGACAGUGUCCUAAGACUCUCUGGCAAGAUCUCUGGUUUAACGACUUCCUGUACUUUCUUCAUCAUUUCGCCAGACAGCAGAUCUCCUGAGGGCAUGGGGAUCCCUAU
rnacentral:lncRNA from 10 species